rnacentral:rRNA from 1 species
CCCACAGCUCAACUGUGGAACUGCCUUUGAUACUGUCAGUCUAGAGUAUAGUUGAAGUUGGCGGAAUGUGUCAUGUAGCGGUGAAAUGCUUAGAUAUGACACAGAACACCGAUCGCGAAGGCAGCUAGCUAAGCUAUAACUGACGCUCAUGCACGAAAGCGUGGGGAUCAAACAGGAUUAGAUACCCUGGUAGUCCACGCUGUAAACGAUGAUUACUCGAUGUUGGCGAUACACAGUCAGCGUCUGAGCGAAAGCAAUAAGUAAUCCACCUGGGGAGUACGAUCGCAAGAUUGAAACUCAAAGGAAUUGACGGGGGCCCGCACAAGCGGAGGAGCAUGUGGUUUAAUUCGAUGAUACGCGAGGAACCUUACCUGGGCUCGAACGUAAGAUGACUGUAGGUGAAAGCUUACAUCUCUUCGGAGCAUUUUACGAGGUGCUGCAUGGUUGUCGUCAGCUCGUGCCGUGAGGUGUCGGGUUAAGUCCCAUAACGAGCGCAACCCCUACCUUUAGUUGCCAUCAGGUCAUGCUGGGGACUCUAAAGGAACUGCCUACGCAAGUAGUGAGGAAGGCGGGGAUGACGUCAAAUCAGCACGGCCCUUACGUCCAGGGCUACACACGUGCUACAAUGGCCGAUACAGAGGGCAGCUACCUGGUGACAGGAUGCAAAUCUCCAAAGUCGGUCUCAGUUCGGAUCGGAGUCUGCAACCCGACUCCGUGAAGUUGGAUUCGCUAGUAAUCGCGCAUCAGCCAUGGCGCGGUGAAUACGUUCCCGGGCCUUGUACACACCGCCCGUCAAGCCAUGGAAGCUGGGGGGACCUAAAGUCGAUAACCGCAAGGAGUCGCCUAGGGUAAAACCAGUGACUGGGGCUAAGUCGUAACAAGGUAGCCG